rnacentral:snRNA from 1 species
UAAAAGGGUCGGUUGGCUAAUUAUGCCACACUCAUCCUUGUUCGGUGAGUGCCGUAUGGCAAUCAAGACAUAUGGCCGACAUAAUUUGUGGAGCCUUAAUAGGGUUGGCCCGCUUGGUCGACCCUCUUGU